GGCAUGAUGGCCAAGUGGUAAGGCGUUGGUCUCAUAAACCGAAGCUCACGGGUUCGAUCCCUGUUCAUGCCU